rnacentral:rRNA from 1 species
GACGAACGCUGGCGGCGUGCUUAACACAUGCAAGUCGAACGGAAAGGCCCUGCUUUUGUGGGGUGCUCGAGUGGCGAACGGGUGAGUAACACGUGAGUAACCUGCCCUUGACUUUGGGAUAACUUCAGGAAACUGGGGCUAAUACCGGAUAGGAGCUCCUGCUGCAUGGUGGGGGUGGGAAAGUUUCGGCGGUUGGGGAUGGACUCGCGGCUUAUCAGCUUGUUGGUGGGGUAGUGGCUUACCAAGGCUUUGACGGGUAGCCGGCCUGAGAGGGGGACCGGCCACAUUGGGACUGAGAUACGGCCCAGACUCCUACGGGAGGCAGCAGUGGGGAAUAUUGCACAAUGGGCGGAAGCCUGAUGUAGCAACGCCGCGUGCGGGAUGACGGCCUUCGGGUUGUAAACCGCUUUCGCCUGUGACGAAGCGUGAGUGACGGUAAUGGGUAAAGAAGCACCGGCUAACUACGUG